GAUGAACGCUAGCUACAGGCUUAACACAUGCAAGUCGAGGGGAAACGAUAUUGGAAGCUUGCUUCUGAUAGGCGUCGACCGGCGCACGGGUGAGUAACGCGUAUCCAACCUGCCCAUCACUUGGGGAUAACCUUGUGAAAGUAAGACUAAUACCCAAUGACGUCUCUAGAAGACAUCUGAAAGAGAUUAAAGAUUUAUCGGUGAUGGAUGGGGAUGCGUCUGAUUAGCUUGUUGGCGGGGUAACGGCCCACCAAGGCGACGAUCAGUAGGGGUUCUGAGAGGAAGGUCCCCCACAUUGGAACUGAGACACGGUCCAAACUCCUACGGGAGGCAGCAGUGAGGAAUAUUGGUCAAUGGACGAGAGUCUGAACCAGCCAAGUAGCGUGCAGGAUGACGGCCCUAUGGGUUGUAAACUGCUUUUAUAAGGGAAUAAAGUGAGUCUCGUGAGACUUUUUGCAUGUACCUUAUGAAUAAGGACCGGCUAAUUCCGUGCCAGCA
rnacentral:rRNA from 1 species